UACGUAGGCAGCGGAGCGUUGUUCGGAGUUACUGGGCGUAAGGGUGUGUAGGCGGUCCCUUAAGUUUGGUGUGAAAUCUCCCGGCUCAACUGGGAGGGUGCGCCGGAUACUGAGGGCUAGAGUGCGGGAGGGGAAAGUGGAAUUCCUGGUGUAGCGGUGAAAUGCGUAGAGAUCGGAAAGAACACCAACGGCGAAAGCACUCUGCUGGGCCGACACUGACACUGAGAGACGAAAGCUAGGGGAGCGAAUGGG
rnacentral:rRNA from 1 species